rnacentral:tRNA from 1 species
UGGCUGAUGAGCUCAGCUGGUGGGAGCAUGGUGUUAAUGAGGCUGAGGUCGUGGGUUCAAUCCCCACCGGGCUAU